UUCCAUGAUGAUCCUUGCCAUGUCAAUUAUUUUUUGAUGAUUUUUAUGAAAAUUGUGCACGUGUGGAUUUCUGUUUUGGCUAGGGUUUGCUCAUACAUGUCAUUUGUUGCACCUUGCUUACCAUUUUGAUCAUGAAAUGAUGAUGCUUAAUCCAAAAUUCUUGAAAUUUUAUAGUUUGUGAUUUUUGCAUUCCUGGUUUGUGAGAUAUGACCUGAUCAUUGGAGGUGUGACAAUUUG
rnacentral:lncRNA from 1 species